GGGGCCCUGCUUGAAAGGGACUCUUUGUAUCACAAGGCAAAAAUAGGAGGCAUAGAGAUACACUCAGCAGUAGAAAGGAGCAAUAGGAAAAGCCAGAAUUAACCAAAGCUUUGUGCAAAUGGUUCUGAUAAAUGGUUGAGCGAAGAGGGAGAAAUGGUGUUUCUGUAGAUUGCUUGAUGUGAUAAAGGCAGUGGUGUGGCAGUUCACCAGCCUGGAGAUAUUAUUGCAUGUGAGCCUUGAGUCCAAGUGAAACCACAUCUGUGAAGGGCUUAUCACACUAUGCUGUUCUCCCAAUUCUUCUUUGUUUUAAGGUUAGCGGAGCCAACAAAGCCGUGCUCCUUACAGGUGCAGUGAUUUUGCAUCUGUCCAUAUGAAGAGCCUAGUAAGGAGGCAUCAUAUUUCUCACUGUUGUGAGGAGGUGACUGCUAAUUCCUCUUGUCCCAUGCUUCCCCUACAAGGACCCUAGCACCUAAAUGACUGCCAAACCUUUACCCACCAACAUUCAGUGGCAGCUAACCUGUGAGAGCUUUCUACAGGGAAGAUCCUGGGAAAGGGGGAUGUAAGUACUCUCCGCAGCAACUUUCCUUGUACUAUAUAUAUUUCUUGGCAUCAUUGUUGAUUGUUCUCUCUGAAGUUCUCCAUGUGUUUGUUCUGAUGGAAGUUCAUGGGACAGGGAGAAGAGCAAGGUCCAUCACUAAUCUUGUGGUGGUGUAGCAAGCAGGAUCUUGGGUUUCCAACACCUUGUUUCUCUUCUCUCAGCAGUGAUUUUAUGUCGUCUUUUUAUAAAUUGACCCUGGAGGCCUGGCUGGAUGUCAUCCAUCUCGAUGAUCACCCCUUGAGGGCUGAGGACUGUCUGUGGAGAGGGGUGGUUGUAAGGAGGCUGGGAUGGCCAGCAGGUUUGUAACUGAUCAUAGUCCUGAAAAUAUUUUAGUAGAAAUUGUGUGAAACAUCUGCAGAGAAUGAGGGAGAGAGAAUGUGAUGACUCACUUGGAGCAUGCUGCAUAUAAUCAAUGCGCUAUAAAUACAGCCAUAAAAUGAAUGUUUUGUUUGAAUAAACAGUGCAAUCUACAACAGCACCUCUAGUGCUCUUCUGGUACCCAUCACACAGGAACACUUAGAUUAGACCCUACAGUCGCGGUCUGCUUUCUUUCUGUCAACUGCAGUUAGCCAAAUUCAGCAACAUUUGCCAUGGAGAGGCUCCAUGCUAUGAUGCUACUUUUAUAGCAAUAUGGAUUUUGCUUAGCGUAAAAAACAACGUAAAAACCUGCAGGGCAGGAAGAAAUGACUCGGCACAACAGUUCUGUCCUUUCUAAUCAGAUUUGUGCUAUACUCCGCUUAUGCUGAGGUCUAAAUGAGUUUCUCCACAUUCCUCCCCCUCAUGUCUAGUCCUUAAAAGUCCAAAGCAUCAGCCCAUUCAUACAACCACUCCUUGCAUCUUCUGUCUUUCCCUAAACAGCUCGUUAGCUCCUUAAUCUUUCUCUUUACCCUUCCUUUGUCCUGCUCCUCCCAGCAAGAUCUCCACCUGCAAAGCACCUCUGAGUCUCCCUGACUUCUGCCUUUCCACUGGGCAAUUUUCUCAUUGCUGUGCUCUGGAGCUGCAGCUCGUCAGUUUAGCAGGUCAAGUGUAUUUUUUUUUUGCACAAGAACAGCAGCAGGAUUGUAAUGUGGCCAGUUCAAAUGUGUGUGUAAAAGUAGGCCAGCGGAUGGUCUCCAACUACAAAUAAUAAUAAUAAAAAAAAGUAUUUG